GGCGAAGCAUUUUAUUCUUUUUACAAACCUGCUUUUUCUCAGUUUUCCACAUUGGAUUUGCCAGCUACCUGCCUUUGCAGGACACCUCAGAAGUUACAGACUUGCCUGUGGAAAUGCAGAGAGCACCUGAGGUAUUUCCCGGACUCUCCAGUAGUAGCCUUGAAUGGCUGACCAACCGCAGUCACCUGCCAGAUCUUCUCAGAACCGGCCAGCCCACCAGCAACAUGCCCAUUAAGUGGCCUUGGCCCAGCCCAGAUGGAAAACCCCCUCCACGUGACUUUCUAAAGAACAUGCAUGAAGACAAAACACCAGGUGCCUCAGCUAACUGCAGUGAGGUGUACAGGGCCAUGGGGCUCUGGGAUGAAGUCUUCCACCUCUACACCUUGUAAACAAGGAUUCCAGACACACCCUCCAAAUGGGAAUGGAGACACACGUUUGGCAGAGUUGGACAGUGACGCUGCUCUCCUAUCAGCCUGGACUUUGAGGGGAGUGGAAAACAUGAGUGUGGAGGUGCAGCAGUCCUGGUAUCCCCUGAAACCAGCCUGUGAGGGAACAGUCUUCCCAGGGGAGCUGCUCAGGAUGGUCCUGGUCCAUGCAUCAGGAAGAAAAGGGAACCUGAGAGCAGAGGGAAAAUGCAGAAAGUGGGGCAGGGAGACUGCUCCCUGAAACCCCCAUGGGCUGCUGUUCCAAGCAGAAAGUGUUGUCGGAGGCGGGAGAGGCAGGGUGAAAUGGGACAGGAAACGAGGACUUCCGAUGAGGAGGAGGAGGGGGCAGUGGGCUGCGGGUCUUGGGGACUGAACAGAAUGGGGUUUGCUAGACAGAGCUUUCGUCUACCCACUCCUAAAGUCCUGCUGGACCUCAGCUGGCCCUUGUGAACUGUUGAGGGGGAUAUAAACACAAAGGCCUGCAUUCCUGUGGGUGCACAAUCCUAAGAGACCAUGGACUGCCUGUGUGUGGUGGGAACAGGAAAAGGAGGCUGAGUGUAGCCCUGCUUGGAAUUUAGUGUCCACCACAGAUGUAUCCACUACCCAGGGCCAAAGACUCGGCAGCCUCAGAAGACUCAAUGGAAGCUGAGCACAGGACUAGAAAGGGUCAGGGCCCUCCUCUGUAUGUAGGGGUGGCACAUGGCAACUAGCUGGGUGAUGGGGCACUGAGAAAUUAAAUGUUUGACAUAAAAAUGUAAUCAGGACCCGAGAGGAGGUGGGUGGUGUAAUGAACAGCAUCCUAGAAGUCCAGUACCCAUUUCACGUGUCACCUUCUAGUUCCUUAUCUGCAAAUUGAAAAGUGAGGUCAGGUGCAGUGGCUCAUGCCUGUAAUCCCAGCACUUAGGGAGGCUGAGGAGGGCAUAUCAUUGAGGUCAGGUGUUUGAGACCAGCCUGGCCAACAUGGUGAAACCUCUGUCUACUAAAAAUACAAAAAUUAGCCGGGUGUGCUGCACACGCCUGUCAUCCCAGCUACUUGGGAGGCUGAGGCAGGAGAAUCCCUUGAACCUGGGAGGCAGAGGCUGCAGUGAGCUGAGAUCACACCACUGCACUCAAGCCUGGGCAUCACAGCGAGACUUCUUAAAAAAAAAAAAAAAUUUAAAGGUGAGCCAGUUCAGGCUUCUAGAGGCACUGCAGUUACAGACAGUAAA
rnacentral:lncRNA from 1 species